rnacentral:piRNA from 1 species
AAACAAGUUCUGUGGGACGAGAGCAAGU